rnacentral:rRNA from 1 species
GUCUACGGCCAUACCACCCUGAACGCGCCCGAUCUCGUCUGAUCUCGGAAGCUAAGCAGGGUCGGGCCUGGUUAGUACUUGGAUGGGAGAAGACAGCUUCCCUUUGCUG